CCUACGGGGCGCUGCAGUCGAGAAUCAUUCACAAUGGGGGAAACCCUGAUGGUGCGACGCCGCGUGGGGGAAUGCAGGUCUUCGGAUUGUAAACCCCUGUCAUGUGGGAGCAAAUUAAAAAGAUAGUACCACAAGAGGAAGAGACGGCUAACUAUGUGCCAGCAGCCGCGGUAAUACAGAGGUCUCAAGCGUUGUUCGGAAUCACUGGGCGUAAAGCGUGCGUAGGCGGUUUCGUAAGUCGUGGGUGAAAGGCGCGGGCUGAACCCGCGGAGGGCACAUGAUACUGGGAGACUAGAGUAAGGGGGGGGGAAGCGGAAUUCGGGGUGUAGCAGUGAAAUGCGUAGAUA
rnacentral:rRNA from 1 species